UACGAAGGGGGCUAGCGUUGUUCGGAAUUACUGGGCGUAAAGCGCACGUAGGCGGAUCCUUAAGUCAGGGGUGAAAUCCCGAGGCUCAACCUCGGAACUGCCUUUGAUACUGGGGAUAUCGAGUCCGGGAGAGGUGAGUGGAACUGCGAGUGUAGAGGUGAAAUUCGUAGAUAUUCGCAAGAACACCAGUGGCGAAGGCGGCUCACUGGCCCGGUACUGACGCUGAGGUGCGAAAGCCAGGGGAGCAAAGCGGG
rnacentral:rRNA from 1 species